GCCAGUGUUGCUCAGUGGGUAGUGCAUCAGUCUGUGCACCCGAAGGGUUGCGGGUUCGAUUCCUGUCAAAGGCA
rnacentral:tRNA from 1 species